rnacentral:rRNA from 1 species
GUGGAUUAGAUACCCCGGUAGUCCACGCCCUAAACGAUGAAUACUCGCUGUUAGCGAUAUACAGUUAGCGGCUAAGCGAAAGCGUUAAGUAUUCCACCUGGGGAGUACGCCCGCAAGGGUGAAACUCAAAGGAAUUGACGGGGGCCCGCACAAGCGGAGGAGCAUGUGGUUUAAUUCGAUGAUACGCGAGGAACCUUACCCGGGCUUGAAAGUUAGUGAAUAAUCUAGAGAUAGAUUAGUGAGAAAUCACACGAAACUAGGUGCUGCACGGCUGUCGCCAACU